rnacentral:rRNA from 1 species
GACGAACCGUACGAACGUUAUUCGGAAUCACUGGGCUUAAAGGGUGCGUAGGCGGCGCGGAAAGUUGGGUGUGAAAUCCCUCGGCUCAACCGAGGAACUGCGUCCAAAACUGCCGUGCUCGAGGGAGACAGAGGUGAGCGGAACUUAGGGUGGAGCGGUGAAAUGCGUUGAUAUCAUCAGGAAUACCGGAGGCGAAGGCGGCUCACUGGGUCUCUUCUGACGCUGAGGAACGAAAGCUAGGGGAGCAAACGGG